GACGAACGCUGGCGGCGUGCUUAACACAUGCAAGUCGAACGCUAAGGCCCUGCCUUGGUGUUGUGCUUGAGUUGCGAACGGGUGAGUAACGCGUAAGUAACCUGCCUUUUACUUUGGGAUAACUUUUGGAAACUGUAGCUAAUACCGCAUAACAGUACCUGUUGCAUGAUGUUUGUUGGAAAGUUUCGGUGGUUGGGGUUGGACUUGCGGCUUAUUAGCUUUUUGGUGUGGUAGUGGUUUACAAAGGCGUGGACGGGUAGCCAUACUGAGAGGGUGACCGGCCACAUAGGGACUGAGAAACGGGCAAGACUGAUACGGGAGGAAGGAGUGGGGAAUAGAGCAAAAAGGGCGGAAGGAGGAAGGAGGAACGUCGCGUGGGGGAGGACGGCCGUAAGGGUAGAAAGAGUUUGCGCGUGUAAAGAAGAGUGAGUGACGGUAAUGGAUAAGGAAGCAACGGCUAACUACGUG
rnacentral:rRNA from 1 species